rfam:Sorghum bicolor cultivar BTx623 chromosome 7, whole genome shotgun sequence.
GCAAUAUGGGCCACUCAGGCUAGCCAAGGAGACUGCCUAUGAACCAUCUAUCUCAAAGGCUCACAUUUCUGAUCCUUCGGCACAAAGGACACAGGCAAGUCAUCCUUGGCUAUCAGAGGCAGGCCCUUAUC